rnacentral:rRNA from 1 species
AGGUAAUAGAUACCCGGGUAGUCCUGGCAGUAAACGGUGCGCGUUUGGUGUGGGAGGAAUCGACCCCUUCCGUGCCGGAGCUAAACGCGUUAAAAACGCGCCGCCUGGGGAGUACGGUCGCAAGAUUAAAACUCAAAGAAAUUGACGGGGCCCGCACAAGCGGUGGAGUAUGUGGCUUAAUUCGAUGCAACGCGAAGAACCUUACCUGGGCUUGACAUGCAUCUCUAAGUCGGUGAAAGCCGGCGAAUCCCGCGAGGGAUAAUUUGCACAGGUGCUGCAUGGCUGUCGUCAGCUCGUGUCGUGAGAUGUUGGGUU